AUUUCAUCAUGGCGUCUCGUGUGACAGACGGUCCUGUGGUCUGUCGUGGCGGUAGAUCGCAACUUGAAGCAAAUGGCGUUGCGAUUACACAGGCCAACAUGGUAAAUGAAAUGCGGGCAGUUCAGCUACUUAUUGGCGGAAAUGGUCGUGGAGUGUUUUUGCCGACGAAGUUUCAGCAUAAAUGUUAAUCAGAGUUAAAUGGCAUCUUGACAUCUUCUGUAUGAUGAAGACGUGCUCUAUGGCCAUUGCUCCUUAAUGGGUAUAUAUGACUUCUGGCAGUACUGGCUCACUGAAAGCAACGUUAUUGGUGCCUUGUGGAUGAAGUGAGGUGGAGUGUGAAACUGCACCAGCAUCAUGUACAUCUACAAGCACAAAUAUUCUCCAGUUUGUGGAUCGUUUAUUGAUGGCUAUAGGAUUUUUGUCACAUUUUUUCCAGUGAACCGUGUGAGAGGCAGGGUUUUGUAAUGAUCCCAUGGAUUCUAAUGCAGGAAGCCAUAAUUUCUGUGAAAACUGGUGGAUGCUCAUUGAAUUCUAUAAGGAAACACACAUGGUCCUGUUGAUUGGCUAUUUAAGAAGAAUGAGGUAAUGAAAACAGCAGCUUGUAGCUCAGAUAAAAUUUACUCUGUGAUUGAAUGUUGGUUGCAAGGGCAAUGUUGCUGGCUGGUACACAGCAUGCCAUGUGUCAAUGCAUUUAAUGUAAACCUGUUUGACUCCUUAUUCUGUGCACUUUGUAAUGUGUUUUGCCUGACAAGGUUCUUCAUGUCUCUAAAAUGGUGACACAGUGAGUGCACAAAGCACGAGAAAAAACUGAAAUUGGCAGAUGAGUGGUCCCUUCCAUUCAACUUGCUGAAACAUCAAUCACAGUUAUUUUAAUCGGUGCAUAGAAGUUAUACUUCUUUAAAGCUGGAGUAUUUGUUAAUGUAACAACAAUAAAUAUUUAUUUUGAUAA